GUGUAGGAUAGGUGGGAGUCUAUGAAUCCCCAACGCCAGUUGGGGGGGAGACAACCUUGAAAUACCACCCUUUUCUGUUUUCGGCUCUAACCCUGGAUAGGCCAGGGGACCAUGUCUGGUGGGUAGUUUGACUGGGGCGGUCGCCUCCCAAAAGGUAACGGAGGCGCGCAAAGGUCCCCUCAGGGCGGAUGGAAAUCGCCCGUGGAGUGCAUUGGCAUAAGGGGGCUUGACUGCGAGACCUACAAGUCGAGCAGGUGCGAAAGCAGGCCAAAGUGAUCCUACGGUUCCGUGUGGAAGGGCCGUGGCUUAACGGAUAAAAGCUACCCCGGGGAUAACAGGCUUAUCUUGCCCAAGAGUUCACAUCGACGGCAAGGUUUGGCACCUCGAUGUCGGCUCGUCGCAUCCUGGGGCUGAAGAAGGUCCCAAGGGUCCGGCUGUUCGCCGGUUAAAGCGGCACGCGAGCUGGGUUCAGACCGUCGUGAGACAGGUCGGUCUCUAUCCGUCGUGGGCGUCCGGAGAUUUGAGGGAGGCUCUCUCUAGUACGAGAGGACCGAGAGGGACAGACCAAUGGUGUGCCAGUUGUUCUGCCAAGGGCAUUGCUGGGUAGCCAAGUCUGGUUUGGAUAAGCGCUGAAAGCAUCUAAGUGCGAAGCCAGUCCCAAGAUUAGAUCUCCCAUCCUUCCUUUCGGGGAAGGAGUAAGACCGCAAGUAGACUACUUGUUUGAUAGGCGGCAAGUGUAAGGGUAGUAAUACUUUUAGCUAAGCCGUACUAAUGGUCGAGGGCUUGACCUG
rnacentral:rRNA from 1 species